rnacentral:rRNA from 1 species
CCUUGGUCAGGUUGAAGUUCAGGUAACACUGAAUGGAGGACCGAACCGACUUACGUUGAAAAGUGAGCGGAUGAACUGAGGGUAGCGGAGAAAUUCCAAUCGAACCUGGAGAUAGCUGGUUCUCUCCGAAAUAGCUUUAGGGCUAGCCUCAAGUGAUGAUUAUUGGAGGUAGAGCACUGUUUGGACGAGGGGCCCCUCUCGGGUUACCGAAUUCAGACAAACUCCGAAUGCCAAUUAAUUUAACUUGGGAGUCAGAACAUGGGUGAUAAGGUCCGUGUUCGAAAGGGAAACAGCCCAGACCACCAGCUAAGGUCCCAAAAUAUAUGUUAAGUGGAAAAGGAUGUGGCGUUGCCCAGACAACUAGGAUGUUGGCUUAGAAGCAGCCAUCAUUUAAAGAGUGCGUAAUAGCUCACUAGUCGAGUGACACUGCGCCGAAAAUGUACCGGGGCUAAACAUAUUACCGAAGCUGUGGAUUGUCCUUUGGACAAUGGUAGGAGAGCGUUCUAAGGGCGUUGAAGCAUGAUCGUAAGGACAUGUGGAGCGCUUAGAAGUGAGAAU